rnacentral:rRNA from 1 species
AUGAUACGCGAGGAACCUUACCUGGGCUUAAAUGUAGAGUGCAUUGAGAGGAAACUUUCAUUUUCUUCGGAACUCUUUACAAGGUGCUGCAUGGUUGUCGUCAGCUCGUGCCGUGAGGUGUCGGGUUAAGUCCCAUAACGAGCGCAACCCUUAUCGUUAGUUGCCAGCGGGUAAUGCCGGGAACUCUAGCGAAACUGCCGGUGUAAACCGAGAGGAAGUGGGGAUGACGUCAAAUCAGCACGGCCCUUAUGUCCAGGGCUACACACGUGUUACAAUGGCCGGUACAGAGGGCAGCUACCUGGAGACAGGAUGCGAAUCUCGAAAGCCGGUCUCAGUUCGGAUCGGAGUCUGCAACCCGACUCCGUGAAGCUGGAUUCGCUAGUAAUCGCGCAUCAGCCAUGGCGCGGUGAAUACGUUCCCGGGCCUU